UGAUGAUAGGUUCAUUUAUUCGAGCUAAGGCCUGAUCCUCAUCUGUUAUACAUGAUGAGUCAAUUAUUGAGGCUUUUGUAAGUCAUUCACAAGGGCUUUUGGAACACUGAAAGUUUAGUAUGCCGGUCAUGCUUUCAACCCUAACCCUGACACAUUUCUCUUAAUGGUUACUAAGAGUGGAAAUGUGGGCCCAAAGCUUUUACAAACCUUUCUGCAUCUGCCUUAUCUGGAGAGUAAACAAUUUGUCACCAGCGAGAGUGUUACACAUCAUUUGUUCUCUUCACCUCCAGCUCCGAAGGAACAUUCAAUCCAAGGCUGGUGAGACUGAUGUGAGUGCACAACGGUAAUCUUCUGUGGACGUCUUCUCAGCACACCGCCACAAAACGAAGUGCAUACACAGCUUUGCUAGUUCUUCCUGUCUUUGUUUCUGUUUGACGUGCGUGGAUAAUGACUGAGCGAAUGGAAAUGUCGAAAUGGCAUUCAGGCUUCUUAUGGAACUGUCAUUGGAGGGAAAACUUGACCUCGUUCCAGCCUCGACUUCCAAGACAGAUGAGAGCCAUUAGUUCUUCAGUCAUUACAAAGAAUUGAUUAAAGGGACUGACUGUGUGUGAAGUUUUCUAAUUGGAUGCUGGGUAAACAAUUGCAUGGGAUGCUUUGAUUCCAUCCCCCACUGUUUUUCCUUUCAUUCUAAGGCCGGGCGGGUAAGGAGUAAAUGUCCUAUCUCCUUCGUCUUUCAGACUGUAUCAGUCAUCACGUUUAUUUUUUUCAAUUUAUUUUCUCAACACAUUGGCCAAGACCUUUGUUCACUGGUUGAGAACAAAAUGGUCAAUGGAAAAGCUGGAUUCCGAAUCAUACUCAAAAUCAAAUGUCAUCCAACCUCUGUGAAUCGUCCGAAGCCAACUCAAAACGGGAUGCAGUUGUGUGUAUGAUUUCUAUGCGCACGUGAAUGUUUUAAUGAGACGAAUGUUGUCCUGAGCGAUCUCCUUCGGAACCUGGAGGAAUCAGGUCCUCUGUCAGUCCAGCAGAAUUUUCUCCGUAGCAUCUCCUGUCCAUCACAUUUGCUCUGUGUGAAGCCGAUCUCAUCUGUAAAUAGAACAGAGUGUCCGUGGUGCGUCUUGACUACAAAUCUCCAAAAGGGCUGUGGAAGCGCCCCUAUUGUCUCUCCUUCUUUCUCCAUAUCCUGGAGGUGUAACUGCAUGGAGGUACACCGUGAUAAUAACGUGCCCCUCCUUCUUUAUUAUCUGCAGUGUGUGCCUGAAAGUCAGUAAAAAUAGUUCCAAUUUUGUCGUUAUCAUUAAAUGUGUGUCUU